UUAUUGCGAAGCUGAAGAAGCGUACCAAGUCAGGUUUUACUAAUGACCAAAUUGUUUCAAGCGAAUUUGGCACAUGUAAUACCUGCCUUGGUUGCUACUUACCUUGCUUCACAACAA
rnacentral:precursor_RNA from 9 species